AGAAGACUGGGGCAGGACCUUGCAGUAAUACUGAGAGCUCAUGUCAUCGCUGCUUGGGAGAAGAGCUGGGCCACCUGAAUUAUCCUGGAGGAGAACUCUUCAUUUUUUUCCACAGAUAGCAAAAGAUUUUGAACAGUUUUCAGAUGUUCUGUGCCAUCCCCCAGUGUAGUACCUCAGCCAUGAGCAUAAACUUCCAGAGUCACAGUGAAGUUUCCUGCAGUUUUAAGCCUUUAUUGUGCUCUCAGAACUGCUGGUCAAGAUUUCAGGAUUCACUGACUUACUAAUACUACAGUUAAGUCCCUAAGCAGGCCAGUAAGGCUGUCCCACAAGUGUAUAAUUAAGUCUAUAAAUUAAAUAUAUAUAUUCUCAUCAUUAAUCUGGACCUGACAGACCUUCAGUAUAAACUGACUUGCAUUUAUUUAUUCUAAAUGGGAAAACAGCACUAAUACAGAUACAGUUCUGAAGCACUAGAGACAAUAACAAAAAAAAAAGUGUUGGGAAAAAAAAAAAA